GUUUCACUGUGUUGGUGAGGCUGGUCUCAAACUCCUGACCUCGUGAUCCACCCACCUUGGCCCCCUAAAGUGUUGGGAUUACAGGCAUGAGCCACCGCAUCCUGCAGGACUCUAUUUAUAUAAAGUUCAGAAACAGGGAAAACUGAAGCACGUUGUUGAGGGAACACACAGAGAAAGCAAGAGCGAAACUCUAUCCCCAAAAACAUAAAACAUAAAAAAUAGCUGUCUUUCAUUUUCAACAGUGGCUGCAAAGAUGAGAAGCCCAGCCCAGAAGAGGUAUACAGUGGAUGCUGGUACCGGAGGCAGACCUGGCCCACAGUCCGUUACAAAUCCAGGCUCCUCUUUCCUCGGUGUGGAGUGUCUGGCUGAGAAGUAGCUGCCCAGCCAGGAACCCCAUUUUUCAGAACCCUUUGUGUAUAUGUGGGGCCGAAUUUCUAGUUCUCCCCUAUGGACUCUGUGCAAGGCGUGGUGUGCUGCUUUCAGAUGGAAGGAUGAAGAAUUGGUCUUUCCCUGUCUGGCGGCUGCACAAGGAGAAGUCAGAGGUCUUCAAGGGGGCAGAGCCAGAGGAGGGAGGGAGCCAGGGGAGGCCACCCUGACAGCAGUGCUGGCGCUGGACUGUGACUGAGCAGGAAAUGAACUUUCACAGGCUGAGCCACUGAGAUGGGGCUAGCCUCUUACAGCAGUGGCUUUACCUCUUCUUUUUUCCAUCCCUCCCUGGCAACUGUCUUGAUCCCCGUCCGGCUGUCCAGGCCUCAUGAUCUGGAGGGAGGGCGUCCCGUUCCCUCUGACCUAGGCCCUUGCCCUGACUCCACGGUGGGCCAGAUGCGACCAUCUUGGCCAUCAGGCUCAGGGCAGACUGGGGCCUUCUUUCCAGGUGCCAAGCGCAGUCCCCACCUCAGUGGAUGCUGACAGGACGCUCUGGUGGCCCAGGAGGUCUUGCUUAGUCAUACGAUCCUCUGUGGAUUAGUGUAUGGGGACCCAAGCCACAUGGGACUUUAGAAAUCCCCCUUUCCCUCAGGAGCACCCGGGGAAAGAGAAGCUACCAUCCGUCAGUGCAGUUAGCCUCGGCCCCACAUCCUCUCUGACCCUGGCUUUUGUCUUCCGGGGGCUCUGUGGGCCUCCUUGUGCAGCCUCCCCAUGGUGCUGGGCUGGGGCCUCCUGCAUUUUCAUGGUUUCUGUGACCCUGCCUUCUCCCAAGGCCUCCCUUAACCUCUGCCUUGCUUCCCCUGACCUUUCCCUACCUCUCCCUGACUUCUCAGCUCUGUUCCCUGCAGCCCGCUCCAGGUCCUCCCUAGGGGAUGCUGUGGCACAGACGCCUAUGUCUUCCUCCGAAUAGAAGCACAGCCAGAGACUCAAAGAGGUCAUCUCCAGGGGUGAGCUUUCUCUUUGCCUCUGUCUUAGCAGAACAUGAAGUCCCUGGAGGGAGACCAUGGCAAAUCGGAUAAAAAUCUCUCUGUGGCAGAUUCACUUUCCUGGGAUUAGCCCGACUCUCACGCUGGCCCUCCCCAGAUGGACUCUGCCCUGAGUCAUUGGUACCUGAUGGCAGAGUGGGCGGCAGCUUUCCUCCCCUGAUCUUCUCUCCCAGUCCCUGCCUCAUCACCCUGAGUCCUCAGCACACUCUCUACCCCUGAGCCCACCCUCUCCCAACUUGAAGCUCCCGAUCCUCUGCCACCAAACCAUGACCCUGCCCUUCCUUCUGAACUCUGAGUGGCAUUAAUUGCCUCAAAACAUUUCUUAGGCUAAUCUCCCAGACUCUGGUCCCUGUACUCUUCUUUUGACAAGGCGAGGGCUCAGCUCCAAUUAUCCUGAGGCGGUGUUGAGGGGGUGGACAUUGGAACAACUCUUCUGCCUCUAAUCAGCUACCUGAGCAGCACAGGUCUUGGCCACAGUAUCACCUACUUGGAGAGACUUUCCUGAGUGUAAAGAAGCCCCCACCGCCAAGAUUCUCCCACGAUGACGCCCUUUUACUUUGUAGCACCGAACCUGGUUUGUUGUUAUAUAAUUGUGGUUUGUUUGUGGUCUGUCUCCUCCAUUAGGCUAAAACCUACAGGGCACAUGGCUUUUGUCUUCCACUGUGUCUUGGGGCCUGGCACAGGGUAGGGUACCAGGACCAUGUGUUGAAGGAAUGAAUGAGGCUCAAACCUCUGCUCAGACUCAGGGCUCCUUAAAGAUAGGAAUCUACCUCCGUUUUCAGCCUGGGCCCCCUUCAUCCCCUGCACAGGGCAGGGACUGCUUCCGCCCCUCUCCCCUUUCUCCUAGGGUCCCUUUGCUGCAGGCAGAGCUGGAGCUGGAGCAGAAGUGUGGCUGAGGCCACUGAGGAAGCAUUCACAGCUCAGACCUGCAGCCUCCUCCGACCACAGAGCUAAUGCUGUGGAGCUGACCACUUGGCACCAGAGAUCUCCAGGGAAACCCUGCCAGCGCCCUGAGCUUAUGGCCUGGCCUUAAACCUGCACCACUGGCUUCAAAAGUGCCACAUCCUCUCCCUAUCUUUAAAGAUAGCACAGCACCUGCCUUCAUGAAUCCAUUUCAGUGAAAGCGGGGCUUAAAAACCAGAGCUGUACAGCAACAUACACACACACCCUAAACACAUCCCCACUUCUACCUUCCAUCUUUUCUCUUUCUGCAUUCAUUCCUCUGGCCCAGUCUCUGUGUCUCUGUUCCACUUAUUUCUGUCUCUGUCAAUCUGUGUCUCUUUCCAUCUGCCUCUGUCCCUCGCUGCGUCUCUGCUUCUCUCUGCCACAUUUUGUGUUUCUUUUCUGUCUCUGUCCGCUUGUGAGUGUUAUUCUACAUCUCAUGCCCUCUCUGAGUUUUUGUUCAUGUCUGCCUUCUCCUGUCACCCCCAAGGGCCCUGAGGUCCCCCCUCCCCUCAUUCCUCCCUUCCCCCGUAGCAGCCACCUCUCUGGGUGCCACUAGCUCACGCUUAGCUCUUCAGGCAAUCGUAGAAAGAAGAAAGGGAGGAGGAUGCUAGCGGGGAGCUUGAAGCAAGUGGUGGGGCAGCAGUGAGAAGUAGAAGUAGCACUGAAUAAAUACGCAGCUGUCUCUUUUAUCUCUUCUUGGCAGGAGGCAGAAGCUGGGGCAGGGGAGGCUCAGACGAAUGGGCAGGGAGGGAGAUGGAUGAUGGGGCCCAGAGUGAGACGGGGAGACUCAGGGCAGCCGACAGGACUGAAAUGAAGGGGGAUGUAAGUUUCCACAACCUCUGGCUCCUGGCAGGAGACUUUCCACCCUGAUUACUAGGGACAGGGAAUUGUUUAGGAGUCCAGGACACAAAAGGAUAAAAUAAGGAGACCGUGGGAAGAGCAGUAAGUGUGUGUGUGUGUGUGUGUGUGUGUGUGUGUGUGUGUGCGUGCGCACGCGCGCGCCCUACUCACUAGUCGCUAGUGCUAUUUGCUAAAUAUUUCUGGGUCUCCUCUUCCGAAUUGCACUCCCUGGCCCCCUUGUGGUUGGAUGGGGCCAUAUGACCAGUUCUGGCCAAUGGGCAGAAGAGAAAGUGUCACUUCCCGGCAGAAGAAUGUAAUUGCCAAUGCAACAUCUUCCAGAGGUCUUUCUUUCCCUCUGGCACUAUGACCAGCAAGCUUUGAGCUAGUGGCUUCUCCAUCAGUCUGGGCCUUGGGGUGAUAUGAUGUGCAGAAGCUGUGACUGGCAUGUCGCGUGAGCAAGAAGCAAGCCCUUUGGUUUUAAGCAGUAGAGGUUUUGGAGUUAUUUGUUAAUGAAGCAUAGCCUUGCCUAUCCUGACUGAUGCAGUAUACAUGCCUGUGAUUGUGUAGGUGUCUGUAUGGAGUGUAAAGUGUCCAGGGAUGUGUGUUUAAGCAUGUGUAUGUGCCAAUAUUUAUUUAAUACAUAUAGAAGCACGUGUGUUUAGAGGUUGUGUGUGUGAAUACAAGUCUUGGUAUUUUUGGUCCACACCCAGCAAAUGGUGAAGAAGGAAAGUUUCCCUCUGCUGCUGUCUUACCUCCUGUUUGAGGUAGACACACAAAGGGCCAGAUCUUGGGUCCCGCUUGCCUCCUAACCACCCGCCCAGCUUUAAUCUCCACGUCUUCUCUUCUUCCUGGCAGCUGCUACCCUCUUCCCUGAGUGUUCCUGGGGUGGCUACUGCUUUUGGCUGCCUGGCACAAUUUCCCUCUCUCCUAGCCCCAGGCAGAGUGACUGGUUCUGGGUUAGGUGUGUGGCCAGGGCCAGACCACUCAGACACCUUCCCCAGGAUUUUGCUGCUGGAGCAAGCAGGGAAGUGGAGCGCACCUUCCCUUUGGGGUGAUAGACACAGGAAGGGGUGAGAUGUGCAGCUGUCCUUGCCAUGGAGGGAUGAGUGGCCAGGCCGAAAGAAGCAGAGCUGAGAGAAAGGAACAAGAUGUUUUAGAUCCAGUGCCACCUGGUCUCAAUAAUGACAUGGGCCAGUGUGUUUGCUUGCUCUCCAAGGCUGUGGUGGACUUGUCUCUGGGAGGAGGGACAGAAG
rnacentral:lncRNA from 1 species